UACGAAGGGGGCUAGCGUUGCUCGGAAUUACUGGGCGUAAAGGGCGCGUAGGCGCCGAUCAAGUCAGGCGUGAAAUUCCCGGGCUCAACCUGGGGGCUGCGCUUGAGACUGGUUGGCUAGAGGCCGAGAGAGGGUGGUGGAAUUCCCAGUGUAGAGGUGAAAUUCGUAGAUAUUGGGAAGAACACCGGUGGCGAAGGCGGCCACCUGGCUCGGUACUGACGCUGAGGCGCGACAGCGUGGGGGAGCAACAGG
rnacentral:rRNA from 1 species